GCGGGCGUAGCUCAAUUGGUUAGAGCAACUGACUCUGGAUCAGUGGGUUGUAGGUUCGAAUCCUGCCGUCUGCG
rnacentral:tRNA from 1 species